AGUGAACGCUGGCGGUAGGCCUAACACAUGCAAGUCGAACGGCAGCACAGUAAGAGCUUGCUCUUACGGGUGGCGAGUGGCGGACGGGUGAGGAAUACAUCGGAAUUUACUUUUUCGUGGGGGAUAACGUAGGGAAACUUACGCUAAUACCGCAUACGACCUACGGGUGAAAGCAGGGGAUCUUCGGACCUUGCGCGAUUGAAUGAGCCGAUGUCGGAUUAGCUAGUUGGCGGGGUAAAGGCCCACCAAGGCGACGAUCCGUAGCUGGUCUGAGAGGAUGAUCAGCCACACUGGAACUGAGACACGGUCCAGACUCCGACGGGAGGCAGCAGUGGGGAAUAUUGGACAAUGGGCGCAAGCCUGAUCCAGCCAUACCGCGUGGGUGAAGAAGGCCUUCGGGUUGUAAAGCCCUUUUGUUGGGAAAGAAAAGCAGCAGGUUAAUACCCCGCUGUUCUGACGGUACCCAAAGAAUAAGCACCGGCUAACUUCGUG
rnacentral:rRNA from 1 species